ensembl:misc_RNA
UAGAGGCGGCAGAGACAGGAACGGAGCCACGGCAGCAGAGGCGGGAGGCGGGAGGGAAACCAGCUGU